GCGUAGGCAUCGAAUAAGAAGGCGGACAUCUCGGU
rnacentral:sRNA from 1 species